rnacentral:sRNA from 1 species
CCUACUGUUUAAACUUUAAGAUGAUCCCUAACUGGCUUAAAGUCCUCAACCCACAGUGGAGGAAAACGUUGCAAAAAAAAAAAAAAAAAACAAGGUCAUGCUGCAUUUUUUUGGUAAGCACAGGAAUCAACAUAGAGAUGUUAUAUAACUUCUAUUUAUAUCCUCCUUGCUCACUAUCUGCAGGCAGACAAGAGUCGCUGAGAAGGGAUUUAAUGAGCUCUCUGGGUUUGCUCACCUUCCUGAGCUGGUAGGAACCAGCUUGUUCUCAAGUGCGUCAGCAAAGAAUCUGCCUGUGGGUGGGCGGCCAGGGUAGGUGGACAGACUUGUUGCCAUGGUGUUCUUUAAUUCCCCUGUCUCUCAG